CCUACGGGUGACUGCAGUGGGGAAUAUUGCACAAUGGGGGGAACCCUGAUGCAGCAACGCCGCGUGGGUGAAGAAGUACUCCGGUAUGUAAAGCCCUGUCAGCAGGGAAGAAAAUGACGGUACCUGAAGAAGAAGCCCCGGCUAACUACGUGCCAGCAGCCGCGGUAAUACGGAGGGGGCAAGCGUUAUCCGGAUUUACUGGGUGUAAAGGGGGCGCAGACGGCGAUGCAAGCCAGGAGUGAAAGCCCGGGGCCCAACCCCGGGACUGCUCUUGGAACUGCGUGGCUGGAGUGCAGGAGGGGCAGGCGGAAUUCCUGGUGUAGCGGUGAAAUGCGUAGAUAUCAGGAGGAACACCGGUGGCGAAGGCGGCCUGCUGGACUGCAACUGACGUUGAGGCCCGAAAGCGUGGGGAGCAAACAGGAUUAGAUACCCUGGUAGUC
rnacentral:rRNA from 1 species